UACAGAGGUCUCAAGCGUUGUCCGGAAUUAUUGGGCCUAAAGCAUCCGUAGCCGGCCUUACAAGUCCUCCGUUAAAUCCAGCUGCUUAACAGAUGGGCUGCGGAGGAUACUAUAAGACUAGGAGGCAGGAGAGGCAAGCGGUACUCAGUGGGUAGGGGUAAAAUCCGUUGAUCCAUUGAAGACCACCAGUGGCGAAGGCGGCUUGCCAGAAUGCGCUCGACGGUGAGGGAUGAAAGCUGGGGGAGCAAACCGG
rnacentral:rRNA from 1 species